CCUACGGGAGGCAGCAGUGGGGAAUAUUGGGCAAUGGAGGAAACUCUGACCCAGCGACGCCGCGUGCGGGAUGAAGGCCUUCGGGUUGUAAACCGCUUUCAGUAGGGAAGAAGCGAAAGUGACGGUACCUACAAAAGAAGCACCGGCUAACUAUGUGCCAGCAGCCGCGGUAAUACAUAGGGUGCAAGCGUUGUCCGGAAUUAUUGGGCGUAAAGAGCUCGUAGGUCGUUUGUUACGUCGGAUGUGAAAACCUGAGGCUCAACCUCAGGCCUGCAUUCGAUACGGGCAAACUAGAGUUUGGUAGGGGAGACUGGAAUUCCUGGUGUAGCGGUGGAAUGCGCAGAUAUCAGGAGGAACACCAAUGGCGAAGGCAGGUCUCUGGGCCAAUACUGACACUGAGGAGCGAAAGUCUGGGGAGCGAACAGGAUUAGAUACCCUGGUAGUCCAGACCGUAAACGGUGGGCACUAGUUGUGGGAACCUUCCACGGUUUCUGCGACGCAGCUAACGCAUUAAGUGCCCCGCCUGGGGAGUACGAUCGCAAGAUUAAACUCAAAUGAAUUGACGG
rnacentral:rRNA from 1 species